GACGAAGGGGGCUAGCGUUGUUCGGAAUUACUGGGCGUAAAGCGCACGUAGGCGGACUCUUAAGUCAGGGGUGAAAUCCUGGAGCUCAACUCCAGAACUGCCUUUGAUACUGGGAGUCUUGAGUUCGGGAGAGGUGAGUGGAACUGCGAGUGUAGAGGUGAAAUUCGUAGAUAUUCGCAAGAACACCAGUGGCGAAGGCGGCUCACUGGCCCGAUACUGACGCUGAGGUGCGAAAGCGUGGGGAGCAAACAGG
rnacentral:rRNA from 1 species